GCCCUUCAGGACUAACACAUGCAAGUCGAGCGGGCCCUUCGGGNUCGUCGUCGGACGGGUGAGUAACGCGUGGGAACGUGCCUUCUGGUCUGGAAUAACACUGGGAAACUAGGGCUAAUACCGGAUACGCCCUCUUGGGGAAAGGUUUACUGCCGGAAGAUCGGCCCGCGUCUGAUUAGCUAGUUGGUGGGGUAACAGCCUACCAAGGCGACGAUCAGUAGCUGGUCUGAGAGGAUGAUCAGCCACACUGGGACUGAGACACGGCCCAGACUCCUACGGGAGGCAGCAGCGGGGAAUAUUGGACAAUGGGCGCAAGCCUGAUCCAGCCAUGCCGCGUGAGUGAAGAAGGCCUUAGGGUUGUAAAGCUCUUUUAUCCGGGACGAUAAUGACGGUACCGGAGGAAUAAGCCCCGGCUAACUUCGUGCCAGCAGCCGCGGUAAU
rnacentral:rRNA from 1 species